rnacentral:lncRNA from 1 species
UUGAAGCCACUCCGGCAGACAAGUCAAUUUCGCAAUAUUGUGAAACUCCACGGCAUGGAGGUUUUGAAGGCUCAAUUGAUCAGCACUGGUGUCAUAAGUGUAUAGCAGAUCCAACUUAUCACAGUCUGCAAUCUUAAUCAUCUCGAGGGAAGUUAAGUAAGGCAGGGCUCGAUCCAGAGUCACUAAGUUCGCACAAUCCAUGAUCGACAACAUCUUGACCGAAGA